rnacentral:rRNA from 1 species
UACGGGGGGAGCAAGCGUUGUUCGGAUUUACUGGGCGUAAAGGGCGCGUAGGCGGCGCAACAAGUCACUUGUGAAAUCUCCGGGCUUAACCCGGAGCGGUCAAGUGAUACUGUCGUGCUAGAGUGCGGAAGGGGCUACUGGAAUUCUCGGUGUAGCGGUGAAAUGCGUGGAUAUCGAGAGGAACACCUGCGGCGAAGGCGGGUAGCUGGGCCGACACUGACGCUGAUGCGCGAAAGCCAGGGGAGCGAACGGG